AUUGAACGCUGGCGGCAGGCCUAACACAUGCAAGUCGAACGAGUGGCGGACGGGUGAGUAAUGUCUGGGAAACUUCCUGAUGGAGGGGGAUCACUACUGGAAACGGUAGCUAAUACCGCAUACCCUCAGAUGUGCCCAGAUGGGAUUAGCUAGUUGGUGGGGUAACGGCUCACAAAGGCGACGAUCCCUAGCUGGUCUGAGAGGAUGAUCAGCAACACGGGAACUGAGACACGGUCCAGACUCCUACGGGAGGCAGCAGUGGGGAAUAUUGCACAAUGGGCGCAAGCCUGAUGCAGCCAUGCCGCGUGUAUGAAGAAGGCCUUCGGGUUGUAAAGUACUUUCAGCGGGGAGGCGUUACCCGCAGAAGAAGCACCGGCUAACUCCGUGCCAGCCGCAGCGGUAAUAC
rnacentral:rRNA from 1 species